rnacentral:rRNA from 1 species
AGGAUCAUUAUUGAAUCUGAAAGAAAAGGGGAGGAGAAAGGACUGUUGCUGGCUCUCUUUUUUGAGGGAAGCACUAUCGUGCACGUCCUUUGUCUGACCUCCUUCUUCUCUCAUUCUAUUUAAAUACACACCCUGUGCACCUAUUGUAGGCCCUCGAAAGAGGAUCUAUGUUUUUUCACAUCACACGCUCUAUUGUAUGUCUAUAGAAGGUAUUGAGAACGUCCCAGAUCCUUUUUUUCGGAGGAUCUUUGGCGGUCAAAAUAAAUUAUACAACUUUCAGCAACGGAUCUCUUGGCUCUCGCAUCGAUGAAGAACGCAGCGAAUUGCGAUAAGUAAUGUGAAUUGCAGAUUUUCAGUGAAUCAUCGAAUCUUUGAACGCACCUUGCGCUCCUUGGUAUUCCGAGGAGCAUGCCUGUUUGAGUGUCAUUUGAAUUUCUCAACCAUGUCUUGAUUUAUUUCAAGGUAUGGCUUGGAAUUUGGAAGCUUUGCUGGCAGAUGUCAGCUCUUCUUAAAUGCAUUAGCAUUGGGUGGGCAAGUCUUUUUCUUUGACGUGCACGGCCUUGGACGUGAUAAUGAUCGUCGUGACUGGAGCGUUU